CUGGGCUGCCAAAGUGAUGAGCUCUGAACUUUAACCACUAGGCUAUUAGGGCUGGCCCUCUAUUUUAUUAUUUAGUGCAGUUAUUGU